rnacentral:rRNA from 1 species
UACGGAGGGUGCAACCGUUGCUCGGAAUCAUUGGGCGUAAAGCGCACGUAGGCGGCGCGUUAAGUCGGGUGUGAAAGCCCUGGGCUCAACCCAGGAAGUGCAUUCGAAACUGGCGCGCUUGAAUAUGGAAGAGGGUCGCGGAAUUCCCGGUGUAGAGGUGAAAUUCGUAGAUAUCGGGAGGAACACCAGUGGCGAAGGCGGCGACCUGGGCCAAUAUUGACGCUGAGGUGCGAAAGCGUGGGGAGCAAACAGG